CGGGGUGAGUAAUGUCUGGGAAACUGCCUGAUGGAGGGGGAUAACUACUGGAAACGGUAGCUAAUACCGCAUAACGUCGCAAGACCAAAGAGGGGGACCUUCGGGCCUCUUGCCAUCGGAUGUGCUCAGAUGGGAUUAGCUAGUAGGUGGGGUAACGGCUCACCUAGGCGACGAUCCCUAGCUGGUCUGAGAGGAUGACCAGCCACACUGGAACUGAGACACGGUCCAG
rnacentral:rRNA from 1 species